rnacentral:rRNA from 1 species
UAGGGAAUCUUCCACAAUGGACGCAAGUCUGAUGGAGCAACGCCGCGUGAGUGAAGAAGGUUUUCGGAUCGUAAAGCUCUGUUGUUGGUGAAGAAGGAUAAAGGUAGUAACUGGCCUUUAUUUGACGGUAAUCAACCAGAAAGUCACGGCUAACUACGUGCCAGCAGCCGCGGUAAUACGUAGGUGGCAAGCGUUGUCCCGGAUUUAUUGGGCGUAAAGCGAGCGCAGGCGGAAGAAUAAGUCUGUGUGAAAGCCCUCGGCUUAACCGAGGAACUGCAUCGGAACUGUUUUUCUUGAGUGCAGAAGAGGAGAGUGGAAC